CGGCGGCGCAGUAUUCUAGUCAGAUCUGCCGUCUCCUAGGGAGGGCCUAAAAAUCCUCUGAAGGGCACACCGAUGAAACCUCUGGUGCCUGCUUGAUACGCCCAGUUUUGGGUGGGUGCUGGGGGGAAGCGCGCGGCGCGCGCUUGCGGACUCAGGGCGCUUUCCAAUGGCAUGGUUAUCCCGACCCUGUUUCCGUGGAGACCUGCUCUUGUGCACAGCCGUACUCCCAUCGCGGUAUUUCCGAGCUGUGUACGAAGCAGAUGAUGAACCUGCAAUGCGGUGCAUCGGCCCUGCGGGGCCGUAACGCUGUGUGCAGACGUAGCCUGCCUUGCGUGGGUAUGGCGAAUGAGAGGCCAGGCCGCCUUCGCUCCCGGCCGGAGCAGCCGGCGGCCCCCUGCUCUCUGAAACCCUGGCUGCAAAAGAGGCUAAAGAGACGGACGGACUGGGGUGGAAAUCACCUAGGCUGUCUUUCCGGGCGAAAAAAGGAUUGCAGUGCGGACUAAGUGGCAAUCGGGUAGCGUGAACUGGCGACGACACGCUGCGGCACUGAAAGGGGAACCGCCUCCAUCGGCAACGAGAGGUGCGCCGCGGGGAAAUCCGACCCGUACCUAAGCCGUAAGAUUUACUUUUUCCGCUGCCGCC
rnacentral:sRNA from 1 species